rnacentral:rRNA from 1 species
UAAAUUAAAUUUACUUUUUAUUAAUUUAAUUUUCAAUUAUUUCAAAUUUCUAUCACUACACUAAUUCACUAUAAAUUUUUUAAUUUUUUCUAUUAAAAUACUUUAACCCCCAUUAUAUAUAUUUUAAUAUUAAAAUUAUUUUUAUUAAAUUUAUAUUAUUAAUUUUUAAAUUAU